CCACAGGUAGCUCAAGUGACGUCUAUUCAUUCAUUCUCUCUCUGUUCUCUCCCUCUCAUUGCCCUUCUCCGUGUAUGUGCUUCCAUGUGUUAUCCAGAAGAACCAUACUCCUGUUAUUCAACAACAAACAAAAGUGCAGAUCAUUGAAAGGAAAGCAUCAGAGAGAAUAUCCAGUGAGUUCUAGAAUAUGGAAAAGAUCAAAUAGAUGGCCCAGGAAACGUGUCGUUCUUUCUGAAUAGUACACAGCAUGUCACACUGUUUCCCAGUGAACCUCUUCAAAUCCUCCCACCCUGAGCGGCUCCAGGAAACACCUCUUUAUUCUCCGCAAGGCGAAAGAAAAAGAAAAUGUUAGGGAAAGAGAGAUAAAAUGUACUGUGGACAGAGAGUGGGUGUUCUUAUAGUCAAAAAUAAAGAUUGAUCAGAACCAACGUAGGCCA
rnacentral:lncRNA from 1 species